rnacentral:tRNA from 1 species
GCGGUGAUGGUGGAAUUGGCAAACACCGGUCAUCUGGAAUGGCCCGGGCCUCGCCCAUACGGGUUCGAUUCCCGCUCGCCGCA